rnacentral:rRNA from 1 species
AGAGUUUGAUCCUGGCUCAGGAUGAACGCUAGCUACAGGCUUAACACAUGCAAGUCGAGGGGCAUCAUGGCGGUUGCUUGCAACCGCCGAUGGCGACCGGCGCACGGGUGAGUAACGCGUAUCCAACCUGGCCGUUGCCACGGCACAGCCCGCCGAAAGGCGGAUUAAUGCGGUAUGAGGCGCUUCGAUGGCAUCAGAAGAGCGCCAAAGCUUCGGCGGCAGCGGAUGGGGAUGCGUCCGAUUAGGCAGCAGGCGGGGCAACGGCCCACCUGGCCGACGAUCGGUAGGGGUCCUGAGAGGGAGGCCCCCCACACUGGGACUGAGACACGGCCCAGACUCCUACGGGAGGCAGCAGUGAGGAAUAUUGGUCAAUGGGCGGAAGCCUGAACCAGCCAAGUAGCGUGAGGGAAGACUGCCCUAUGGGUUGUAAACCUCUUUUGUGCGGGGAUAAAGUGUGGGACGUGUCCCAUAUUGCAGGUACCGCACGAAUAAGGACCGGCUAAUUCCGUGCCAGCAGCCGCGGUAAUACGGAAGGUCCGGGCGUUAUCCGGAAUCAUUGGGUUUAAAGGGAGCGUAGGCCGCAUGUCAAGCGUGCUGUGAAAUCCCGGGGCUCAACCCCGGAAGCGCAGCGCGAACUGGCGUGCUUGAGUUGCAUCGAGGCAGGCGGAAUUCGUGGUGUAGCGGUGAAAUGCUUAGAUAUCACGAAGAACCCCGAUUGCGAAGGCAGCCUGCCAGUUGCACACUGACGCUGAUGCUCGAAGGCGCGGGUAUCGAACAGGAUUAGAUACCCUGGUAGUCCGCGCGGUAAACGAUGGAUGCCCGCCGUUGGGAUUUGGAUUUCAGCGGCCAAGCGAAAGCGUUAAGCAUCCCACCUGGGGAGUACGCCGGCAACGGUGAAACUCAAAGGAAUUGACGGGGGCCCG